GACGAACGCUGGCGGCGUGCUUAACACAUGCAAGUCGAACGGAAAGGCCCUGCUUUUGUGGGGUGCUCGAGUGGCGAACGGGUGAGUAACACGUGAGUAACCUGCCCUUGACUUUGGGAUAACUUCAGGAAACUGGGGCUAAUACCGGAUAGGAGCUCCUGCUGCAUGGUGGGGGUUGGAAAGUUUCGGCGGUUGGGGAUGGACUCGCGGCUUAUCAGCUUGUUGGUGGGGUAGUGGCUUACCAAGGCUUUGACGGGUAGCCGGCCUGAGAGGGUGACCGGCCACAUUGGGACUGAGAUACGGACCAGACUCCUACGGGAGGCAGCAGUGGGGAAUAUUGCACAAUGGGCGGAAGCCUGAUGCAGCAACUCCGCGUGCGGGAUGACGGCCUUCGGGUUGUAAACCGCUUUCGCCUGUGACGAAGCGUGAGUGACGGUAAUGGGUAAAGAAGCACCGGCUAACUACGUG
rnacentral:rRNA from 1 species